UGAGAUUGACAGCACAGAUACAACAGACGUGAAUCUACUGAGGAAUUAUUUGAACAUACAGAAUUUACCCUCAAUAAAUAGUGACACCAGUGUGGUGGACAUAAACAUCACUACAGUGUGCAUUUUGAAUGGUACUGGAUAUCAGUGCAGAUGUGAUGAUCAGUAUUUCUGGCCGUGUGAAAAGUGCACACAGUAUGGCUUUUGUAAUAACAUCGCUGAUUCCUUGUGUGGCUGCAUUAAUGCUGUUCCAAUUGAUGGACACUUCUGCCAGCCAAUCAAUGAGCUGACUGAUAAUUCUACAUGUCCACCUAUACCAACAACAGG